AACGAACGCUGGCGGCAGGCUUAACACAUGCAAGUCGAGCGCCCCGCAAGGGGAGCGGCAGACGGGUGAGUAACGCGUGGGGAUCUACCGUACCCUACGGAAUAACGCAUGGAAACGUGUGCUAAUACCGUAUACGCCCUACGGGGGAAAGAUUUAUCGGGGUAUGAUGAGCCCGCGUUGGAUUAGCUAGUUGGUGGGGUAAAGGCCUACCAAGGCGACGAUCCAUAGCUGGUCUGAGAGGAUGAUCAGCCACAUUGGGACUGAGACACGGCCCAAACUCCUACGGGAGGCAGCAGUGGGGAAUAUUGGACAAUGGGCGCAAGCCUGAUCCAGCCAUGCCGCGUGAGUGAUGAAGGCCUUAGGGUUGUAAAGCUCUUUCACCGGUGAAGAUAAUGACGGUAACCGGAGAAGAAGCCCCGGCUAACUUCGUGCCAGCCGCCGCCGUAAAAC
rnacentral:rRNA from 1 species